rnacentral:rRNA from 1 species
CGUAACGCGUAUGACAACCUACCUCUUACAGGUGGGAUACGCCCAGAGUAAAUUUGGUAUUAAUACCGCAUAGUAUACAGAUUCAGCAUUGGGACUGUAUUAAACAUUUAUGGGUAAGAGAUGGGCAUGCGUUCUAUUAGUUAGUUGGAGUGGUAACGGCACCCCAAGACAGCGAUAGAUAGGGGCCCUGAGAGGGGGAUCCCCCACACUGGUACUGAGACACGGACCAGACUCCUACGGGAGGCAGCAGUGAGGAAUAUUGGACAAUGGGCGAGAGCCUGAUCCAGCCAUGCCGCGUGCAGGAAGGCGGCCCUAUGGGUUGUAAACUGCUUUUGUACGGGAAGAAACACCCCCUCGUGAGGGGGCUUGACGGUACCGUAAGAAUAAGGAUCGGCUAACUCCGUG